AGUUGAUCUCCCUGGAAAUGGAGACUGUAAUCAGACCAGAGACGAGAUGUGGAAAUCAAUGUUAAGGGAGUGCACAGCUGUUUGGGUUGUGAGUGAUAUCAAUCGAGCCGCAUCUGACAAGGCAGCCUGGGAGAUCCUGAAGAGCAGCAUGACAGAUAUGGUGCAGGGAGGGGCAUGCACUGGCAUCACUUUCAUCUGCACCAAAACUGAUAAUAUGGAUCCCCAGUCUUACAUGAGAUCAUUAAGACUAAACAAUGAAGAUCUACAAAUCACAGCGGACAAUGUAAGUGAAAAAUGGAUACAAACUGACACCACUGCAUUAGAUGACAGAUCUAUGCCAGAUGAAAUACAAAGUGUAUUAUUAUUCUCCCUAUUUUCCAGGAAUCAGAGAAAAAGCUUAAAUGCAUACAGCACAGGAAUAACAUGGCCAAGAAUCGUGUGA
rnacentral:lncRNA from 1 species